AUUCAAAGAUCAUCAUGGCCUGCAGGAUAGAGAUAAACAGAACAUGUCAGUGCUGAAGUAUAGGUUUUGAGACAGACUGAAGUUUGGAUUUUGACUUGGCUUCCUAAUGACUUAGGUUACUCCAACUGCCACUUCUGAGGCGUUAGGAACAAAAGCAGGGUCCCUGGGUCAGAAGCCAGAUGCUGCGCGGGAUCCCUACACACAGCACCGCCAAGGAGGUGACUGCAUAGUGGCUGAAGUCGCAUGAGAGGGCAGAGUGAAUGUGAGCUGAUGUCUUAUCACAGGAUAUGCUAACAAGGAAGGUCAACACAACCCCAUGACUUUAAGAACAGAUUGGAGGCAGACUUCGUCUCAGUCACCUGCUCAGACUGGUCCUUGUGCAGGACCCUAGUGCACCUGUGGAAGUCAUCCCUGAUGAAUUAUGAUACUUCAGAUUGUUAUCCCAACAAGGAAUAAACAGUUGCUGAAGGAAGUGGGUGAGCCUGGCUCGCUGGGCCCCAGCGCUGACUCAGUCAUGCAGCGCUAAUUUCCUGGCGGUCUCUGAAUGCGCGUGAAGCUGCUCUGUAGCUGCUGCUGACAAUGAACUAGUGACUGGAAAAAGGAAUCUUAAACACAGUCACAUCUCCUGACUGUUAAAAUCCUGUUCACAAGCCACGCUGAUCUAAUACGCUACACGACAGGAAUAACAUUGAAAAAAAAAAAAAAAAGAAAGAAAGAAAAGAAAAGAAGAAUAAACAGCUACACAGUAUACAAAGUUUCUCAUCUACUUUUUGGUGUGUUGCCAGGCAACUCCAUUAUUCUUAACAUAUAUUUCUCAGGGCACCAAAAUUCUAUUCUGGCUAUUUCUUUCCAGUGAAUCAUUAAAUGUUUCAAAGUUUGCUAGAUACGUGAUUUUAUAGUAAAUAUUUGUCAUGACAUCUUAAAUGAAACAAUGGUGUAAUUACAUUUAGAAUGACCGUUUUUUAAAAAGUCCGAAGACAAUUUGCAUAGAGAGUUUUAGUGGAAGAGUGUUAAUAUCUGAGACUUACAAGGA